rnacentral:lncRNA from 1 species
AUGGAACAUUUUCUCUAUGAAUGCUUCUGCUGAAACAGUUUAUUUCUGAAUGAGGAUUUAGCAAAGUUAAAAAGAAAAAGAAAAGAAAAAAAAAAAAAAAGUCUGGACCAUGGAACAGUACAGAUGACAGAAUAAAAUGGAGAAGUUUCAUGGUAUUUCUUUGUAACAGCAUUCCCUUCUCUCCUGCAGCCUCCUUCCCAUUUCCCCCUGAACUAGAUACACAAUUUACAGAGAAAAUAUGAUGGUUUAUUUUCUGUAUGUGCCUUUAAUCUACUGUUGUUUGAAUGUGUAAUAAACAAUACUGUCUGAUUGCUCCCCCUCACAGCGUAACUGUACUGGUAUCAAUUUAAAUUUUUCCUUUAAAUUGUUUCUAUGUGCUUCCCACAGUAACGUACAUGUAUCAUUCUGAAGAAUAACUACUGAAGAUUUAGAAAAAAAUGAGAUUGUAUCAUAAACGCAAUUAAGCCAGAAAUGAAUAAAAGGUCAGCUAAGAGUCAAACAAUAUCUUAGUAUUAUACUCUUUUUUUUUUUUUUCCACAAUGUAAAUGUACAUUUUAAUGAUACCAAAAUGAGUGAAACAGUUAAGAUAACGAUUGAAUGAUAGAAACCUUUUCAGAAAUUCUUUGGUCUGAAUCUUUAAAACUAAAUAACAUAAUAUUAAAUUAAUAGAAAUAAAUUCUAUUUGAUGCUUAAAAUGAUUAUACUUCACACUUAAAAACUAAUAGCUGUGUAAUACAUGUAAAUAAAGUAAAUAUUGGCCUUAUAUAAGGUUCCAGUCUGUGAAUCAUGGGACAUUACUUGUAAUUUCAGCUCUGCUUUCAACAGAAAUACCUCAUACUGCUUGUUAGUGAAUGCUGAAAAUGGCACUGUCAGAUGGGACAAUGGAGGAUUUUCCUAGAAUGCAGGUCACUCUUUGAGAAUUUAACAAUAGCAGGAGAAUAAGAAGAUAAAUGACCUGGGAAAAUCAUGGGAGAGAAAAUGUCAGAUUCAGCAGCUGCAGCUUUUUAAAUCCUAUUAGCAUUUUUCCCUUAAGGCAGAAAAAUUGAUCUGAAGACAUCAACG